rnacentral:rRNA from 1 species
UACGUAGGGUGCAAGCGUUUGUCCGGAAUUAUUGGGCGUAAAGAGCUCGUAGGCGGUUUGUCGCGUCUGCUGUGAAAAUCCAGGGCUUAACCCUGGACCUGCAGUGGGUACGGGCAGACUGGAGUGCGGUAGGGGGAGAUCGGAAUUCCUGGUGUAGCGGUGAAAUGCGCAGAUAUCAGGAGGAACACCGGUGGCGAAGGCGGGUCUCUGGGCCGAUAUUGACGCUGAGGAGCGAAAGCGUGGGGAGCGAACAGG